rnacentral:rRNA from 1 species
AGUGAACGCUGGCGGUAGGCCUAACACAUGCAAGUCGAACGGCAGCACAGUAAGAGCUUGCUCUUACGGGUGGCGAGUGGCGGACGGGUGAGGAAUACAUCGGAAUCUACUUUUUCGUGGGGGAUAACGUAGGGAAACUUACGCUAAUACCGCAUACGACCUACGGGUGAAAGCAGGGGAUCUUCGGACCUUGCGCGAUUGAAUGAGCCGAUGUCGGAUUAGCUAGUUGGCGGGGUAAAGGCCCACCAAGGCGACGAUCCGUAGCUGGUCUGAGCGGAUGAUCAGCCACACUGGAACUGAGACACGGUCCAGACUCCUACGGGAGGCAGCAGUGGGGAAUAUUGGACAAUGGGCGCAAGCCUGAUCCAGCCAUACCGCGUGAGUGAAGAAGGCCUUCGGGUUGUAAAGCCCUUUUGUUGGGAAAGAAAAGCAGCAGGUUAAUACCCCGCUGUUCUGACGGUACCCAAAGAAUAAGCACCGGCUAACUUCGUG